AACGACUCUCGGCAACGGAUAUCUCGGCUCUCGCAUCGAUGAAGAACGUAGCGAAAUGCGAUACUUGGUGUGAAUUGCAGAAUCCCGUGAACCAUCGAGUCUUUGAACGCAAGUUGCGCCCUAAGCCUUUAGGCCGAGGGCACGUCUGCCUGGGUGUCACGCAU
rnacentral:rRNA from 2 species